rnacentral:rRNA from 1 species
UGCAAGUCGAACGAUGAACCUCCUUCGGGAGGGGAUUAGUGGCGAACGGGUGAGUAACACGUGGGCAAUCUGCCCUUCACUCUGGGACAAGCCCUGGAAACGGGGUCUAAUACCGGAUACGACCUCCGACCGCAUGGUCUGGUGGUGGAAAGCUCCGGCGGUGAAGGAUGAGCCCGCGGCCUAUCAGCUUGUUGGUGGGGUGAUGGCCUACCAAGGCGACGACGGGUAGCCGGCCUGAGAGGGCGACCGGCCACACUGGGACUGAGACACGGCCCAGACUCCUACGGGAGGCAGCAGUGGGGAAUAUUGCACAAUGGGCGAAAGCCUGAUGCAGCGACGCCGCGUGAGGGAUGACGGCCUUCGGGUUGUAAACCUCUUUCAGCAGGGAAGAAGCGAGAGUGACGGUACCUGCAGAAGAAGCGCCGGCUAACUACGUGCCAGCAGCCGCGGUAAUACGUAGGGCGCAAGCGUUGUCCGGAAUUAUUGGGCGUAAAGAGCUCGUAGGCGGCUUGUCGCGUCGGAUGUGAAAGCCCGGGGCUUAACCCCGGGUCUGCAUUCGAUACGGGCAGGCUAGAGUUCGGUAGGGGAGAUCGGAAUUCCUGGUGUAGCGGUGAAAUGCGCAGAUAUCAGGAGGAACACCGGUGGCGAAGGCGGAUCUCUGGGCCGAUACUGACGCUGAGGAGCGAAAGCGUGGGGAGCGAACAGGAUUAGAUACCCUGGUAGUCCACGCCGUAAACGUUGGGAACUAGGUGUGGGCGACAUUCCACGUCGUCCGUGCCGCAGCUAACGCAUUAAGUUCCCGCCUGGGGGAGUACGGCCGCAAGGCUAAAACUCAAAGGAAUUGAACGGGGGCCCGCACAAGCAGCGGAGCAUGUGGCUUAAUUCGACGCAACGCGAAGAACCUUACCAAGGCUUGACA